rnacentral:rRNA from 1 species
GAACGAUGAAGCCCAGCUUGCUGGGUGGAUUUAGUUGGCGAACGGGUGAGUAACACGUGAGUAACCUGCCCUUAACUCUGGGAUAAGCCUGGGAAACUGGGUCUAAUACCGGAUAGGAGCGCCUACCGCAUGGUGGGUGUUGGAAAGAUUUAUCGGUUUUGGAUGGACUCGCGGCCUAUCAGCUUGUUGGUGAGGUAAUGGCUCACCAAGGCGACGACGGGUAGCCGGCCUGAGAGGGUGACCGGCCACACUGGGACUGAGACACGGCCCAGACUCCUACGGGAGGCAGCAGUGGGGAAUAUUGCACAAUGGGCGCAAGCCUGAUGCAGCGACGCCGCGUGAGGGAUGACGGCCUUCGGGUUGUAAACCUCUUUCAGUAGGGAAGAAGCGAAAGUGACGGUACCUGCAGAAGAAGCACCGGCUAACUACGUGCCAGCAGCCGCGGUAAUACGUAGGGUGCGAGCGUUAUCCGGAAUUAUUGGGCGUAAAGAGCUCGUAGGCGGUUUGUCGCGUCUGUCGUGAAAGUCCGGGGCUUAACCCCGGAUCUGCGGUGGGUACGGGCAGACUAGAGUGCAGUAGGGGAGACUGGAAUUCCUGGUGUAGCGGUGGAAUGCGCAGAUAUCAGGAGGAACACCGAUGGCGAAGGCAGGUCUCUGGGCUGUAACUGACGCUGAGGAGCGAAAGCAUGGGGAGCGAACAGGAUUAGAUACCCUGGUAGUCCAUGCCGUAAACGUUGGGCACUAGGUGUGGGGACCAUUCCACGGUUUCCGCGCCGCAGCUAACGCAUUAAGUGCCCCGCCUGGGGAGUACGGCCGCAAGGCUAAAACUCAAAGGAAUUGACGGGGGCCCGCACAAGCGGCGGAGCAUGCGGAUUAAUUCGAUGCAACGCGAAGAACCUUACCAAGGCUUGACAUGUUCUCGAUCGCCGUAGAGAUACGGUUUCCCCUUUGGGGCGGGUUCACAGGUGGUGCAUGGUUGUCGUCAGCUCGUGUCGUGAGAUGUUGGGUUAAGUCCCGCAACGAGCGCAACCCUCGUUCCAUGUUGCCAGCACGUAAUGGUGGGGACUCAUGGGAGACUGCCGGGGUCAACUCGGAGGAAGGUGAGGACGACGUCAAAUCAUCAUGCCCCUUAUGUCUUGGGCUUCACGCAUGCUACAAUGGCCGGUACAAUGGGUUGCGAUACUGUGAGGUGGAGCUAAUCCCAAAAAGCCGGUCUCAGUUMGGAUUGGGGUCUGCAACUCGACCCCAUGAAGUCGGAGUCGCUAGUAAUCGCAGAUCAGCA